GAAUCUAAGGCCGGGAACACGCAGGUGACUUUUACCCAGUUACUCAGAGUUUGCAACCCCAUGGCAACAAAAGCCUGGUCUUCGACUCCUACCAGGCAGGGCGAAUUCCACUUUAGGUCUCCACUGGCGGAGGUAGAAGGAGUGGAGUACUGGGCCCUGAAGAGUAAGAUCAGCUAACUGAGAAGUGGCAUUACAUUGUAGUGUAACAAAUAGGAAGGGAACAGGAGGUUAGCUGCCAUCCCAGACUCCUUUUUUCCUAUGCCAUCAAUUCUUCCUGAGCCAGAGGAACAGAGCAGUUGAAGAAAGGCAAGGAUGAUGCAGACGGGUGCUGGCAAAUGGGUCUUGAAACUUUCCAGCUGAUAAGAAAAGCUGGAGCAUCCUAUUCAGUCGACAAAAAACCAGAGAUUAGCUUUUGCUGAAGUCAGCAUCAAGAUUCAUUGAACAGAGAAGUAAAUACUCACCAAGUUGAAGCCAAGAGCUCUAUCUUUCCCACAUCUUCUGUAAUCCUGCCUUGAGGCAGACAUGGGAAAGCAGGUGAAGACUUCUCCCAGCCAUGAAGAUGGCUGACGCAGGAGCUGUGGCACACUCAGAGCUUGGUCAGACAUUGAAGAUGCCCAGGUCAUCCCCUGCACCCUGGGCCACCACCAGUCGUCUUGACUCUGGUCCUUCCACUGGACUUCAGUGACUCUGAAGGAGUAAGGCUGAUAACUUUAUGCAGCUCUGCUUUGCUUAAAUCCAAUUCACACACAAGUCAAGACAUCAGCCCAUGAUGUCACCGGUCGUCUUCAAAAGCAAAGGACGAACAACAAACAAUAAUCCUGGCUAAAAACAUUCUUGUUCCCUGCUUCACUGGUUCUCUUCGCAUGGUAACUUUUUCCAUAUGAAGACUAUGGAGUGCAUAAAACAGUUUAGCCAGAACUCUCCCGUUUAGUUUUCACAUGCUCCUAAUUUUCAAAUUAAGUUCUCUUGUUUUCAUAGUUUUCAUAAAGAAACAAUUUGAUUAAUCCCCUUCCACAUUUCAAAAACUCUCAGUUGGGUCACUGGAAGAUCCCUUUCAAAUAAGAGGUUGCCAAACUUCCUCAGCCUUUCUUCACAACUUACAGAUGAAGGGAGUGAUUUUAUCUUCCUUCUUGAUGUCUUGUUUCCUCAGGGACAAUCCUGUUCUUCCAACAAUAAACAGUGCCAAGUACAGGGUAUUCGAUGAGGUCUUACCAAUGUCCCGUGUAAUGGUCAUAUCGCAUCUUUUGAUUUAUAGUCUGUUCCUCUGGUAAUGUAGCCCAGCAUCCUGUUCAACUUUCUCACUACAUCUGUGCAUUAGACUGAAAGCUUUGGGGGGGGGCACUUAAAGAAACAUUUUCCAGACAUAUUAAUCCACAUUUAUAUGCAUUUACCCUUUGCAGAGCAAGAUAUUUAACAAAAGUCAUAUUACAUGUGAUUGCACUGUGUAGUAUAAUCAAAUCACUUCCUGGCUCAUUCUUUGGUAUAAUUUGUAAUGAUCUUAAAGUCUUACUUUCUAACAGUAUCCAGAUCUCUCAUGCAAAUGAAGAAAAGCUGACCUACAGGGCUAUGCUAGAAAUAAGGCUUAUGACUAUGCGUACCUAAUACUUUUUCUUUUGAAUAGAAUUGACCCCUAGUUUGGGGUUUUUUUUCUUUUUUCCCCUUCAAGCAACUAGUCAUUUGAGUUGACUCAGUCAGUUGGUAGGCACCACGGAUACAAAGUCCAAAGAGGCCUGUAUCUCCAAAGACAGUAAGCACAUGAAUGUUACUCCAGGUCCUGAACUGCUAUCAGAUGGUUUACAGAGGGAUGGAGGAAGGCAAAAGCAGGGAAAUAGAACUUUGCAAGUUGGAACGGUUGACUCCCUUUCUCCUGAUGAAAGUAACAGGAAACCCAAGUUCUGCUCUCCAUUCUGUCAUGCACAGACAUGACUUCCAGGCUCUCUUCAGUGAGGAUAACCAUACUCCCUCUACAAGCUGCUACAAAGAUUGAUUAGAUAAUGGUUGCAAAGUCUUUUGAAGACAAGUGCUGUAGAAACACCCUGUGUUUAUAAUGAUCUGUUUUUCCAUUAAUUUUAGCAUGGUUGACCGGACCAUCAUCUAAUCUGCUCAGUGUAUGUGAGCAGCUGACUCCAAAAGGGUUGUUUUUCUAACUUGUAGGUGAGAGCUUUGUUUAUCCAAAUGUUUCUCUUAAUGAUAUUCCAUAAUAUAUGCUGAAUCACCCAUUACUUUUCCAAACCCUUGCAAGGCACACCUUCCUGUAGCCUUGAAAUGCAGACAAAAAAUUAAAAGAUUUUUAAAAUACACAAAAAAUAGGUCCAUGAAACUUUUAUAUAAAAUGUGUUUUUGAUAGAAAAGAGAUCAGCAAUACGUUUUUAAAGACCAGUCAAUCAAUCAAGUAUACACUAAGCACUAAUUAUGUGCCAGGAGCAGGAGACACAAAGAAAAAGCAAAAAUAGUUUCUGCCCUCAGGGAGCUUACAUUCUAAUGGGGAGAAAUGAUGUAUAAAUACAUAAGUAUAUACAAGAUACAUAUAAAGUAAAUGAAAGGCAGCAAGUCUCAGUUGUGGUAUGGCAGGGAGUGGCAUAGUGGAUAGAGUGCCAGGCCUGGAGUCAGGAAGACCUGAGGUCAAGUCUGACCUCAGA